GAGGGGGCUGUGGAGGGGCUGCAGCUUUGCUGCCUCCACUGGGGCGAGGGUAACUCUGGGCACUGACCCAAACACGUCGAUCAGUCAGGCACUGCGAGACCAAAACUCCAGUGCCUUGAAAUUAGAGAUUAGGCCACUGUUUUCAAAGUCUGCAGGAUGUGACCCGGACUAGGACAACUCAUCCAAGAGAAUGAGCAGUUGCUACAGGAGAUGCCAGGCACAAGCUCAAUGCAAGAUCUUCUUCCUGCCUCUGGGGAUCUGGUAAUCCAUACUGCGAGGAAGAAUUGAUGGGAAACAACUUACAGCACCUUGCUAUGAAUUAGCUCUUGGUCAUCUCCAGCAGCAUUAACUUUCCAAGUGUAUUAUUAUCUCAGAAGCUAUGUUGCACUUUUAUUUUUUUU